ACUUGAGUGCAGAAGAGGAGAGUGGAAUUCCNUGUGUAGCGGUGAAAUGCGUAGAUAUAUGGAGGAACACCAGUGGCGAAGGCGGCUCUCUGGUCUGUAACUGACGCUGAGGCUCGAAAGCAUGGGUAGCGAACAGGAUUAGAUACCCUGGUAGUCCAUGCCGUAAACGAUGAGUGCUAAGUGUUGGAGGGUUUCCGCCCUUCAGUGCUGCAGCUAACGCAUUAAGCACUCCGCCUGGGGAGUACGACCGCAAGGUUGAAACUCAAAGGAAUUGACGGGGGCCCGCACAAGCGGUGGAGCAUGUGGUUUAAUUCGAAGCUACGCGAAGAACCUUACCAGGUCUUGACAUCUUCUGCCAAUCUUAGAGAUAAGACGUUCCCUUCGGGGACAGAAUGACAGGUGGUGCAUGGUUGUCGUCAGCUCGUGUCGUGAGAUGUUGGGUUAAGUCCCGCAACGAGCGCAACCCUUAUUAUCAGUUGCCAGCAUUCAGUUGGGCACUCUGGUGAGACUGCCGGUGACAAACCGGAGGAAGGUGGGGAUGACGUCAAAUCAUCAUGCCCCUUAUGACCUGGGCUACACACGUGCUACAAUGGACGGUACAACGAGUCGCGAAGUCGUGAGGCUAAGCUAAUCUCUUAAAGCCGUUCUCAGUUCGGAUUGUAGGCUGCAACUCGCCUACAUGAAGUUGGAAUCGCUAGUAAUCCCGAAUCAGCAUGUCGGGGUGAAUGCGUUCCCGGGCCUUGUACACACCGCCCGUCACGCCAUGGGAGUUGGUAAUACCCAAAGUCGGUGCGCUAACCGCAAGGAGGCAGCCGCCUAAGGUAGGAUCAAUGACUGGGGUGAAGUCGUAACAAGGUAACCA
rnacentral:rRNA from 1 species